AUAAAUUUUUAUGGUUUAGGUAAUUUAUUUUGAAUUUAUUUUACAUAUAAAUUUUAGUGAAUAUUUUAUUUUAUUUUAAUAAUAAAAUAUUAUUAGUAGUAGUAAUUAAUAUUAAAAAUUUAAGAAAUUAAGAUUUAGUAAUAUAAAAAUUAAAAAAUAAUUUUGUGCAAGCAGUUGCGGUUAAACAAAAUUUAAAAUAAAUUUUUUUAGUUAUUAAUUUAUAAUAAAAUAAAAUUAAUUAAAAAUUUAAAUUAUUAGGUGAAAUUUUAAUUUAAUAAAAAAUUAAAUUUUUAUUUAUGAUAAUUAAUAAAUUUUUUUAAAAACUAGGAUUAGAUACCCUAUUAUGAAAAAUUUAAAUUUAAAAUACUAAAAUAGUAAUUAAUUUUUUAUUGAAACUUAAAUAAAUUGGCGGUAUUUUAGUUCAUUUAGAGGAAUCUGUUUAAUAAUUGAUAUUCCACGAAUAAAUUUACUUAAUUUAAUAAUUUGUAUAUCGUUGUUAAAAAAAUAUUUUGAAAUAAUAAUAAUAUUUAAAAAUUUAAAUUUAAAAUUAAAUCAGAUCAAGAUGCAGUUUAUAAUUAAGAAUAUAAUGGAUUACAAUAAAUUUAUUUAAAUGAAUGUGAAUUUGUAAAAAUUUAUUGAAGGUGGAUUUAAAAGUAAUUUUAUUUAAUUUUUUAAAAUGAUUAAAAAUUAAAAUAUGUACAUAUUGCCCGUCACUUUCAUAUAUAAGUUGAAAUAAGUCGUAACAAAGUAGGGGUACUGGAAAGUGUUUCUAGAAUGUU
rnacentral:ncRNA from 1 species